rnacentral:rRNA from 1 species
AGAGUUUGAUCCUGGCUCAGGAUGAACGCUAGCGGCAGGCCUAACACAUGCAAGUCGAGGGGCAGCACGGUGUAGCAAUACACUGGUGGCGACCGGCGCACGGGUGAGUAACACGUGUGCAACCAACCCCGUACCGGGAGAUAACCCGCGGAAACGUGGACUAACAUCCCAUAAUACUGGAGGAUCGCAUGAUCUUUCAUUUAAAAUUCCGGUGGUACGGGACGGGCACGCGCGACAUUAGGUAGUUGGCGGGGUAACGGCCCACCAAGCCGACGAUGUCUAGGGGUUCUGAGAGGAAGGUCCCCCACACUGGAACUGAGACACGGUCCAGACUCCUACGGGAGGCAGCAGUGAGGAAUAUUGGUCAAUGGGCGCGAGCCUGAACCAGCCAAGUCGCGUGAGGGAAGAAUGGUCCAUGGCCUGUAAACCUCUUUUGUCAAGGAAGAAUAAAAGGUACGUGUACCUUCUUGCCAGUACUUGACGAAUAAGCAUCGGCUAACUCCGUGCCAGCAGCCGCGGUAAUACGGGGGAUGCGAGCGUUAUCCGGAUUUAUUGGGUUUAAAGGGCGCGUAGGCGGGACGCCAAGUCAGCGGUAAAAGACUGCAGCUAAACUGUAGCACGCCGUUGAAACUGGCGCCCUCGAGACGAGACGAGGGAGGCGGAACAAGUGAAGUAGCGGUGAAAUGCUUAGAUAUCACUUGGAACCCCGAUAGCGAAGGCAGCUUCCCAGGCUCGAUCUGACGCUGAUGCGCGAGAGCGUGGGUAGCGAACAGGAUUAGAUACCCUGGUAGUCCACGCCGUAAACGAUGCUCACUGGAUCUUGGCGAUACACUGCCAGGGUUCAAGCGAAAGUAUUAAGUGAGCCACCUGGGGAGUACGUCGGCAACGAUGAAACUCAAAGGAAUUGACGGGGGCCCGCACAAGCGGAGGAACAUGUG